CCGGAAGCGCGGGCAAGACGGGGUUCGUGCCCGCGUCGGUUUUCGGAAUUGCCUUUUGACAGCUUCGCAUGAUACGGUUUGGGUCCCGCGCAAUGGGAAGCCGUGAACCUCGUCAGGUCCGGAAGGAAGCAGCGAUAAGCGGAUCUUCACAUGUGCCGCGGAUCGGCCUUCUCCGAAUCCUGCGAAGCUGCCGGAAGGCAAUUUGUCGGUUCCGG
rnacentral:SRP_RNA from 1 species